CAUGCUAAUCCUAUAAACCUCAUAAAACCCUCACCGAAACCAUAAAUCUCACACAAAUCGAUAUUACCGUUAUCUUCAAUUGCUUAAUUCAGACGAUUUCAAGCUACAGAAAAACUAAAACACCGAGAUGCAAGCAGAAACCCUUGCAACAGCGAAUACAAUAACAGAGCAACAAUUGACUCUGUUAAUUCCCGUGGGAGUGGAAAGUGAAGCAACAGAUGAAACGAGUGGAGAAUUUGUAGCGAAAUUGGAAUUCAAUUUUGAAAACUGAAGAAACGAAGUUACCAAAAUUGAACGAACGCGAUGAAGAUGUGAACGUGAUUCUUCAAAGCGUAGGAGAGAGUUGAAUCGAUGAUUUCCGCGGUGGAUCUUUGAAGCUUUGUUAAAACGACGGCG
rnacentral:lncRNA from 1 species